rnacentral:ncRNA from 1 species
UAUUGAGCUAAGAAUGGAUCAAGUAGUCGACUGUCCCUGUUAUGAAGAGAACCGGUGGUUGGUGAAAACCGGUACAAACAGUACGAUGAAAUACUUCCAGGAGCUUUUGCCGUGAACUUUCAUAGUAGCGGCAAACGGUAAGAACCGUUAUAUCGAUGAGCGGGGAAAUUUGAUUUCCCAAGUUGGGUGGUAACGCGGUGAAUAAAUCGUCCCUUCG